UGAGCUAACCGCAAGGAGGCAGCGACCUAAGGUAGGGUCAGCGAUUGGGGUGAAGUCGUAACAAGGUAGCCGUAGGAGAACCUGCGGCUGGAUCACCUCCUUUCUA
rnacentral:rRNA from 1 species